rnacentral:tRNA from 1 species
GGGCGGGUAGCUCAGCUGGGAGAGCAUUGGCUUUACACGCCAGAGGUCGCAGGUUCAAGCCCUGUCCCGCCCA